rnacentral:rRNA from 1 species
GCCAGCAGCCAUGUCACCCUGCAACUUACAAUUGGCAACCACUGAAGCUAAGCAGGUGUGAGCCUGGUCAGUACCUGGACGGGAGACCUCCUGGGAAAAACUAAGGUUGCUGCUGGAA